CAGUCGCAAACUUUCUCGCGGCCCCCACCAUGCGGCCUUGCACGCUUUCCAGAGAGAGCGUGUACUUUCUGAGAUUGUAGCACCUGAAACGUCCCUUUCCCUCAGAAAAGCUGCUGGGAUUUACAGAAGUGCUGCCGCCGCGUGAGUUCUUUCAGCGUUGAGGAGAACCGAGGCACUCCCUGUUGAGCAUAAUUAGGAAGGCUGUUUUCCGUCAAAUAAGGACAGAAGAGUGAAGAGGAGCGAAGGCACAUGGAAACGGCUCUCCAGUGGACUAAGGGCCCUGCAAACAUCAGCCUCGAUGCCUCGGACGCCAGAACUAGAUGGUUCCAGGCUGCUCCUGCCAACUGCUCAGAAAAGGAUGACAUUAAAGGUCCUGG